rnacentral:rRNA from 1 species
CAAAUCUGGUUGAUCCUGCCAGAGGCGACCGCUAUUGGAGUUCGAUUAAGCCAUGCGAGUCGAGAGUCUUAGGGACUCGGCAUACUGCUCAGAACCUCGGGAAACUGAGAAUAAUACUCCAUAGACCACAAUGCCUGGAACGGUUUGUGGUUCAAAGCUCCGGCGGUACAGGAUGGGUCUGCGGCGUAUCAGGUUGUAGGGGGUGUAAAGGACCUCCUAGCCAUUGACGCGUACGGGUUGUGGGAGCAAUAGCCCGGAGAUGGAUUCUGAGACACGAAUCCAGACCCUACGGGGUGCAGCAGGCGCGAAAACUUCACACUGCGGGAAACCGUGAUGAGGGAACUCCAAGUGUUAGCACAAUGUGCUAUCUUUUCUUGACUUUUAAUAGGUCUUGGAAUAAGGGGCGGGAAAGACCGGUGCCAGCCGCCGCGGUAAUACCGGCGCCUCAAGUGGUCGUCGCUUUUAUUGGGCCUAAAACGUCCGUAGCCUGUUUGGUAAACCCGUGGGUAAAUCAACGAGCUUAACUCAUUGACUUCUGCGGAGACUGCCAGACUAGGGACCGGGAGAGGUGUAGGGUACUCAUGGGGUAGGGGUAAAAUCCUGUCAUCCCAUGAGGACCACCUGUUGCGAAGGCGCUACACUGGAACGGAUCCGACGGUCAGGGACGAAGCCUAGGGGCACGAACCGGAUUAGAUACCCGGGUAGUCCUAGGUGUAAACGCUGUGGACUUGGUG